GAGAGGAGCUGAUUUGGUUGCGACGGGAUGGGACCAGGGAGCCCGAGGCCAUCGAGGCUUGGUUUGAGCUA
rnacentral:sRNA from 1 species